AUUGAACGCUGGCGGCAGGCCUAACACAUGCAAGUCGAACGAGUGGCGGACGGGUGAGUACUGUCUGGGAAACUGCCCGAUGGAGGGGGAUAACUCCUGGAAACGGUAGCUAAUACCGCAUCACAUCGGAUGUGCCCCGAUGGGAUUAGCGAGUAGGUGGGGUAAUGGCUCACCUAGUCGACACUCCCUAGCUGGUCUGAGAGGAUGACCAGCCACACUGGAACUGAGACACGGUCCAGAAUCCUACGGGCGGCAGAAGGGGGGAAUAGUGCACAAUGGGCGCAAGCCUGAUGCAGCCAUGCGGCGUGUAUGAAGAAGGCCUUCGGGUUGUAAAGUACUUUCAGCGAGGAGGCGUUACUCGCAGAAGAAGCAUCGGCUAACUCCGUGCCAGCCGCCGCGGUAAUAC
rnacentral:rRNA from 1 species